rnacentral:misc_RNA from 1 species
AAAAACAACUUAUAGCUGCAACCAUUGCAACAAGAGAUAUAACAAAGCAGGGAAGGAAGUAUGGAAACCUCCCAAGAAAGGAAUCUUUGGAAAUUAUGUGUGGAUAUUUCUCUGCGGGCAGCGCGAAAAAUCCUCCAAUGGCCGGUCCAAUUAUUAAACCUAUUGCCCAUGCGGUAGAAACAUUUGAUAAUGCAAGGGCUUGAUGCUCUGGCCGACAACUUUCUGCAGCAUAAGCCUUUACUGUGAUAAGUAUACCAUUAAAAAACCCUAGAAACAAUCUUGUGACAAUCGCCAUCCAAUAAGUCAUUGUCAGUCCAAAAAUAGUGUUGAAUAUUAUCACUGAGAGGAUGCCGAUCACUAGUACUGGUUUUCUCCCGUACUUAUCAGCCACAAU